ACUGGGGCAGGCCGGUCUAACACAGGGAAUCGGGUGCCAGGUAGCCUAGCGGUUAGGCCAGUAAGCGAAAGGUCGCUGGUUCGAAUCCCCAAGCCAACUAGGUGUAAAAAUCUGUCGGUGCCCUUGAGCAAGUCACUUAACCCUAAUUGCUCUUGUAAGUCUCUCUGGAUAAGAGAAUCAGUUAAAUGACUCCCUACUGUAAGUCUCUCUGGAUAAGAUAAUCAGCUAAAUGACUCUCUACUGUAAGUCUCUCUGGAUAAGAGAAUCAGCUAAAUGACUCCCUACUGUAAGUCUCUCUGGAUAAGAGAAUCAGUUAAAUGACUCCCUACUGUAAGUCUCUCUGGAUAAGAGCGUCUGUUAAAUGACUCACUACUGUAAGUCUCUCUGGAUAAGUGAGUCUGUUAAAUGACUCACUACUGUAAGUCUCUCUGGUUAAGAGCGUCUGUUAAAUGACUCAAAUGUUUGUAAAAUGUACAUUUGAGGAGCAGAGCAGGAAGUACAGAGUGACCAGUGAUUUCCCCUGUCUAGGACACACACACCCCAACCACACUUACUGCUCUGUUAGUAGGUGCAGCAGGCGGUAGACACUAGCUAGGUUCCUCCAGCUCCCUCUGUCCCUGUUGGAUGAGACACUAGCUAGGUUCCUCCAGCUCCCUCUGUCCCUGUUGGAUGAGACACUAGCUUGGUUCCUCCAGCUCCCUCUGUCCCUGUUGGAUGAGACACUAGCUAGGUUCCUCCAGCUCCCUCUGUCCCUGUUGGAUGAGACACUAGCUAGGUUCCUCCAGCUCCCUCUGUCCCUGUUGGAUGAGACACUAGCUAGGUUCCUCCAGCUCCCUCUGUCCCUGUUGGAUGAGACACUAGCUAGGUUCCUCCAGCUCCCUCUGUCCCUGUUGGAUGAGACACUAGCUAGGUUCCUCCAGCUCCCUCUGUCCCUGUUGGAUGAGACACUAGCUAGGUUCCUCCAGCUCCUGUCCCUGUUGGAUUAGACACUAGCUAGGUUCCUCCAGCUCCUGUCCCUGUUGGAUGAGACACUAGCUAGGUUCCUCCAGCUCCUGUCCCUGUUGGAUGAGACACUAGCUAGGUUCCUCCAGCUCCCUCUGUCCCUGUUGGAUUAGACACUAGCUAGGUUCCUCCAGCUCCCUCUGUCC